AUUUUGAAGCAUAUCAAACAAUCUUCCUCAGCAGAUAAGGUUUGCCCGAUUAUCUGCUGAGGUGAACCCCGUGAUGUGAUUGAAAGCUCCAGAACAGCUGCUAAAUGGACCUUUUUUCAACCACUGCUACCAAGGAAACUGCGGCCUGGCAAAACCCCAAUCAUCUACCCACAUCCAUGGAUUAGGGUCAACACGAACAACCGAGAAAACUCCUGUAGCACCUGAAGGCAGCUCGAGAAAGGCGAAAAACCCGGACUGGCUCACACCCACGGUGACGCCCAUGUGCGAGGUGUAGUUACUGUAUCUGUCAACACAUCCACGGGCCAACAACUAAAUAGUAGCAAUAUUUAUAUUAUAUUCGCCUCGUUUUUGCGCUGCAGUGAGUUUUUUCUUCUUUCCUAGCUGACCUCUUGGGCACUGGUCUAACGUGGCCGCUGCUGAGCUCCGCCGUCCACACGCACCGUCACUGUGGUCGAACAAAGAAAGUGAGUAUAUCACGGUGGUGUUGAUACCAGAGACCCCGGUGAGCUGACGUUAGUCUGGCACGGCUCGGUGCGGCGUUCAGCGCUGACCCGGGUUAACGAUGACCGCGGAACAAUGGAGACACCGUCGGACUGAGGCAGCACCGCUCCCAGAACUUACCACCACGGCAGUCAGCGGCUGUCCCGGGACGCAAGCCAUGACGUCGCUGAGGAUGUUUGCGCUGAAAUAAAACAAGGAAAGUCGUAAAAACGAAAAAUAAAGAUAUAAUUAUAGGUCCUUGUUGUAAAAGUCAAAGG